ACGGGGUGCAGCAGGCGCGAAAACUUGACAAUGCGAGCAAUCGUGAUCAGGGGACUCCAAUUGGAUCAAUUAAUUUUGAGCUCUGAACCGACUCUAAAUAGGUCGGGUAAUAGGGGCGGGAAAUAUCGGUGCCAGCCGCCGCGGUAAA
rnacentral:rRNA from 1 species